GACGAACGCUGGCGGCGUGCUUAACACUUGCGAGUCGAACGGAAAGGCCCUGCUUUUGUGGGGUGCUCGAGUGGCGAACGGGUGAGUAACACGUGAGUAACCUGCCCUUGACUUUGGGAUAACUUCAGGAAACUGGGGCUAAUACCGGAUAGGAGCUCCUGCUGCAUGGUGGGGGUUGGAAAGUUUCGGCGGUUGGGGAUGGACUCGCGGCUUAUCAGCUUGUUGGUGGGGUAGUGGCUUACCAAGGCCUUGACGGGUAGCAGGCCUGAGAGGGUGACCGGCCACAUUGGGACUGAGAUACGGCCCAGACUCCUACGGGAGGCAGCAGUGGGGAAUAUUGCACAAUGGGCGGAAGCCUGAUGCAGCAACGCCGCGUGCGGGAUGACGGCCUUCGGGUUGUAAACCGCUUUCGCCUGUGACGAAGCGUGAGUGACGGUAAUGGGUAAAGAAGCACCGGCUAACUACGUG
rnacentral:rRNA from 1 species